UGGGGAAUUUUGCACAAUGGGGGAAACCCUGAUGCAGCGACGCCGCGUGAUUUAGAAGGCCUUCGGGUUGUAAAAAUCUUUUCUAUGGGAAGAAAAUGACAGUACCAUAGGAAUAAGGACCGGCUAAUUACGUGCCAGCAGCCGCGGUAAUACGUAAGGUCCGAGCGUUGUCCGGAAUCAUUGGGCGUAAAGGGUACGUAGGCGGGUAAGCAAGUUAGAAGUGAAAUCCUAUAGCUCAACUAUAGUAAGCUUUUAAAACUGCUCAUCUUGAGGUAUGGAAGGGAAAGUGGAAUUCCUAGUGUAGCGGUGAAAUGCGCAGAUAUUAGGAGGAAUACCGGUGGCGAAGGCGACUUUCUGGCCAUAACCUGACGAUGAGGUACGAAAGCGUGGGUAGCAAACAGG
rnacentral:rRNA from 2 species